rnacentral:rRNA from 1 species
AUUGAACGCUGGCGGCAGGCCUAACACAUGCAAGUCGAACGAGUGGCGGACGGGUGCGGAAUGUCUGGGAGACUGCCUGAUGGAUGGGGAUAACUACUGGAAACGGUAGCUAAUACCGCAUACCAUCAGAUGUGCCCAGAUGGGAUUAGCUGGUUGGUGGGGUAACGGCUCACCAAGGCGACGAUCCCUAGCUGGUCUGAGAGGAUGACCAGCAACACUGGAACUGAGACUCGGUCCAGACCCCUACGGGAGGAAGCAGUGGGGAAUAUUGCACAAGGGGCGCAAGCCGGAUGUAGCCCUGCCGCGUGUAUGAAGAAGGCCUUCGGGUUGGAAAGUACUUUCAGCGGGGAGGCGUUACCCGCAGAAGAAGCACCGGCUAACUCCGUGCCAGCAGCCGCGGUAAUUC